rnacentral:rRNA from 1 species
AGGNUCAUUAUAUCAGUUAUGGUUCCUUANAUUGUUACAGUUACUUGGAUAACUGUGGUAAUUCUAGAGCUAAUACAUGCAAUAUAAACACGAACCAUAGUAGUAAUUAUUAUGGAGCGUGUGCUUUUAUUAGACAAAAACCAAGCGAUCGGUGAUUCUCGUAGUCGUCGAUUGUUAAAAUUUGGUUGAACUCUAGAUAACUUGCUGAUCGUAUGGUCUCGUACCGACGACAGAUCUUUCAAAUGUCUGCCCUAUCAACUUUUGAUGGUAGUAUAUUGGACUACCAUGGUUGCUACGGGUAACGGGGAAUCAGGGUUCGAUUCCGGAGAGGGAGCCUGAGAAACGGCUACCACAUCUAAGGAAGGCAGCAGGCGCGUAAAUUACCCACUCCCAGCUCGGGGAGGUAGUGACGAAAAAUAACAAUACAGGACUCAUUUUAGAGGCAUUGUAAUUGGAAUGAGUACACUUUAAAUCCUUUAACAAGGACCUAUUGGAGGGCAAGCCUAGUGCCAGCAGCCGCGGUAACUCUAGCUCCAAUAGCGUAUAUUAAAGUUGUUGCGGUUAAAACGUUCGUAGUUGAAUUUGUGCUUCAUACGGGUAGUAUCGAUUAUAAAUGUAGUCGAUUACUAUACCUUAUGUAUGUAAGCGUAUUACCGGUGGGAGUUCCAUAUUUGUAUAUUUGUGUUGGAAUGUAAUGUAGCGUUGUUGUCAUACCAGAUGCUUUGUUGUUUCGAUGACUUGGUAUUUUGUUAUGACAUGGCGUUGUAUUCGUCCAACCAGUUUACAGAUAUACUCCUGAUUUUCUUUUUUUUUUUAAUAAAAGAAAAAGAAAAACCCAUUUCGGUGCUCUUUAUCGGGUGUUGUUGUGGGCCGGUACAAUUACUUUGAACAAAUUAGAGUGCUUCAAGCAGGCUAUAAAAUGCCUGAAUAUUUUGUGCAUGGAAUAAUGAAAUAAGACCUCUGUUCUACUUUCAUUGGUUUUUAGAUCGAAAGAGGUAAUGAUUAAUAGAAGCAGUUUGGGGGCAUUAGUAUUACGACGCGAGAGGUGAAAUUCUUGGACCGUCGUAAGACUAACUUAAGCGAAAGCAUUUGCCAAAGAUGUUUUCAUUAAUCAAGAACGAAAGUUAGAGGUUCGAAGGCGAUCAGAUACCGCCCUAGUUCUAACCAUAAACGAUGCCAGCUAGCAAUUGGGUGUAGCUAAGAUUAUGGCUCUCUC